UACGUAGGGGGCUAGCGUUGUUCGGAAUUACUGGGCGUAAAGCGCACGUAGGCGGUCAUUUAAGUCAGGGGUGAAAUCCCAGAGCUCAACUCUGGAACUGCCUUUGAUACUGGGUGUCUUGAGUAUGGAAGAGGUUAGUGGAAUUGCGAGUGUAGAGGUGAAAUUCGUAGAUAUUCGCAGGAACACCGGUGGCGAAGGCGGCUAACUGGUCCAUAACUGACGCUGAGGUGCGAAAGCGUGGGGAGCAAACAGG
rnacentral:rRNA from 1 species